AGCGAACGCUGGCGGCAGGCCUAACACAUGCAAGUCGAACGAAGCCCUCGGGCUUAGUGGCGGACGGGUGAGUAACACGUGGGAACGUACCUUUUGGUUCGGAACAACUCAGGGAAACUUGAGCUAAUACCGGAUGAGCCCUUAGGGUGAAAGAUUUAUCGCCGAAAGAGCGGCCCGCGUUAGAUUAGCUAGUUGGUGAGGUAAAGGCUCACCAAGGCUACGAUCUAUAGCUGGUCUGAGAGGAUGAUCAGCCACACUGGGACUGAGACACGGCCCAGACUCCUACGGGAGGCAGCAGUGGGGAAUCUUGCGCAAUGGGCGAAAGCCUGACGCAGCCAUGCCGCGUGAAUGAUGAAGGUCUUAGGAUUGUAAAAUUCUUUUACCAGGGACGAUAAUGACGGUACCUGGAGAAAAAGCCCCGGCUAACUUCGUGCCAGCAGCCGCCGUAACAC
rnacentral:rRNA from 1 species